AUUCUGUUUAUUUCCGAUGCGAAUCUGUUCAUUUGAUACCCAAUUUGUAGUGAGAUCAGAUGUGUUAUUGUUUUUUGCCCACCUUGUCAUGUCAAAAGUUUGGUAGUUUCAAAGCGGUUUGUGUAUAGAAAGACGUAACCGAUGUUCAUGUUCCACUGCAGGAAAAUCAAUUCCCAUUAUCGCAGAACCCAACCCGGAAUAAUCCAAAUAACCCGAGCUGAUCUGGGCUGCUGAGCUUGUUGAGGCAAUUAGUCGGCGACACGAGUGUCAACAUGAUUUGACCUCCUUGGGGCACAUUUGUAUGCAAUCAGUUAACAAUCAGCGUUGGAUGUUGCCAGGCGAUCCGUGAGAUACAAGAUACAUUCGCGCUGCAAGUCCACUGAUUGGGGAUGUGACACACAUUGAUGUGGCAGUGAAUUGUGUAGGAAUGGAUAAUAAUCAAUGAUAUAUAUUUAUUUCUAAGAGCUGAUUAUUAUUAAGUGAUAAGAGAGCAAAAACCAGUUAGCGCUCCAUAACUCCAUAAGUUCAUAAGUUCUAUCUAUUUGAUAUACCGAUUAUAAUGGCGUUCGAUUUGCUGCCGUUUCCAUUUCCAUUUCA